CCUACGGGCGGCAGCAGUGAGGAAUAUUGGUCAAUGGACGAAAGUCUGAACCAGCCAUGCCGCGUGAAGGAAGACGGCUCUAUGAGCUGUAAACUGCUUUUGUACGAGGGUAAACUCAGAUACGCGUAUCUGUCUGAAAGUAUCGUACUAAUAAGGAUCGGCUAACUCCGUGCCAGCAGCCGCGGUAAUACGGAGGAUUCAAGCGUUGUCCGGAUUUAUUGGGUUUAAAGGGUGCGUAGGCGGUCGAAUAAGUUAGAGGUGAAAUCCCGAGGCUCAACUGCGGAAUUGCCUCUGAAACUGUUCAGCUAGAGAGUAGUUGCGGAGGGCGGAAUGUAUGGUGUAGCGGUGGAAUGCUUAGAGAUCAGACAGAACACCGAUGGCGAAGGCAGCUUACCAGGCUACUUCUGACGUUGAGGCACGAAAGCGUGGGGAGCAAACAGGAUUAGAUACCCGUGUAGUC
rnacentral:rRNA from 1 species